rnacentral:rRNA from 1 species
GCAAAACGCGAAGAACCUUACCAGGCCUUGACAUGCAGAGAACUUUCCAGAGAUGGAUUGGUGCCUUCGGGAACUCUGACACAGGUGCUGCAUGGCUGUCGUCAGCUCGUGUCGUGAGAUGUUGGGUUAAGUCCCGUAACGAGCGCAACCCUUGUCCUUAGUUACCAGCACGUCAUGGUGGGCACUCUAAGGAGACUGCCGGUGACAACCGGAGGAAGGUGGGGAUGACGUCAAGUCGUCAUGGCCUUACGGCCUGGGCUACACACGUGCUACAAUGGUCGGUACAGAGGGUUGCCAAGCCGCGAGGUGGAGCUAAUCUCACAAAACCGAUCGUAGUCCGGAUCGCAGUCUGCAACUCGACUGCGUGAAGUCGGAAUCGCUAGUAAUCGCGAAUCAGAAUGUCGCGGUGAAUACGUUCCGGGUCUUGUACACACCG